AUUAGUUAUUAGGUUGGUGCAAAAGUAAUUGUGUGUUUGCAAUUAGUAAUAUUAAUGGCAAAAAUCUCAAUUACUUUUGCAGCAACCUAAUAACUAGU
rnacentral:pre_miRNA from 1 species